CUCUCCCACCUCCCUUCAUCAAGGAGCAGUCUCAUGCCCAGGAGCUAGAAAUGUAGGCUUUGCCGGCAUUGGUUGAGCUGUGCUGGGCCCUAGGCAGCGAUGACUCAAACUUGACCCUUAACCCCCAGGCAGGCAAGUUUUCACUGGGUCUUACCCGACGUGAGCCCCCACUCCUCCAUAUGGACCUGUUUUGGACCAAUGAGGCAUCCUCUUCUGUAGUCCUCAACACGCGGAGCUCCACCACUCCUGAGCAGUGUGACCUCAGGUGGGGUUGGGGAGAGGCCUCGGGAUGGCAAGGACCAGGGUCUGCGGCCAAGCCUGUGGGUCCUGUCUCCCUCUAGGAUGCCCCUGGGACACUGGUACCCAUGGAUGCACUGGGUGACUUGAGGUCAAUGGCUUUCUCUCUCCAGACCUAGGCAGAAAAAGCAAUCUGCUUUGCAUCAGAGAACCUCAAGAGGCUCUUAAUCCUGCUCUUUUCUCCCUCUGGGCUCCCUCCGUGAUGAGCUCAUCUGACCUCCUGGCAACCCCGAAGGGUGGUUUAGAGCAGGGAAUCAGCCUCCCGAUUUACAGAAAGGAUAACUCAGGCCAGGGAAGCGACUUGGACAGGGUCCUGCAGGGACUCAGUGAAGGAGGCUUCGGAACCCAGCCUGUCUUCCAGCAGGCCAGGAAUCAGCAAAUCUGGCUACCUGUUUUUUUAUUUUUAUUUAUUUAUUUAUUUUGAGACAAAGUCUCGCUCUUGUCAUCCAGGCUGGAGUGCAAUGGCAUGAUCUCGGCUCACUGCAACCUCCGCCUCUGGGGCUCAAGCGAUUCUCCUGCCUCAGCCUCCUGAGUAGCUGGGAUUACAGGUGCCUGCCACCACGCCCAGCUAAUUUUUGUAUUUUUAGUAGAGAUGGGGUUUCACCAUGUUGGCCAGGCUGGUCUUGAACUCCUGACCUCAGGUGAUCUGCCCGCCUUGGCCUCCCAAAGUGCCGGGAUUACAGGCCUGAGCCACUAUGCCCAGCCCACCUGAUUUUUUUAAAAUAAAGUUUUAUUGGAACAAGCCAUGCUUAUUCAUUUACAUAUUGUUCCUGGCUGCUUUCACCAUGCAACAACAGAGUUGAAUACAGAUGCUCUUCAAUUUACAGUGGGGUUACUUCCCAGUAAGCCCAUAAAUUGGCCUGUGGUCCCAGCUAACUUGAAAGGCUGAGUGGGAGAAUCACUUGAGCCUGGGAGGUCAAGGCUGCAGUGAACCCUGAUGGCGCCACUGCACUCCAGCCUGGGUGACAGAGUGAGACCCUGAGUGAGGGUCCCAAGUAGCUGGAAGCCUACAGGUGCAUUCCGCCAUGCGCGGCCCUUUUUUUUUUUUUUUUUUUUUUUUGGUAGAGACUGGAUUUUACCAUGUUGCCCAGGCUGCUGUUGAACUCCUGGCUUCAAGUGAUCCUCCUACCUUGGCCUCUGUAAGCAUUUACAGGGAUUACAGGCAUGAGCCACUGUGCCCAGCCCUGAAUAUUUAAUCAACAUGUAAGGGUGUAGCUCAAUGAUUUUUCACCCACUGAACACACCUGCAUGACUUGCAUCUGCAUCAAUAAACAGAAUAUCACUAAUCCCCAGUCCCCUUCUUAUCCCUGUCUAGUCACUACCCCUCGAAGUGUGGCCGACACCCUGACUUCUACCUGCACCGAUUUCUUUGGCUUAUUUUUUAGCUUUACAUACACAGAAUGAUGUAGUGUGUGCUCUUGUGUGUCUAGCUUCUUUCACUCAACAUGGUAUUUGUGAGAUUCAGUACUGCUGUGUGAGACUGUAUGUCAUUCAUUCUCAUUGCUGGAGAAUAUUCCGUGGGAUGAGUGUACCACAAUGUGCUUAUCCAUUCUUUGGACAUUUGAGAUAUUUCCAGCCAGGGUGGUGGGGAGAAUUAUGAAUUCUGGAGGAUCGCUUGAGGCCAGGAUUUCAAGACCAGCCUGGGCAACAUAGCCAAACCCCAUCCCAAAAAAAAUUUAAAAAUUAGCCAAGCAUGUGAUACACACCUUUAGUCCCAGCUACCCAGGAGGCUGAGGUGUGAGGAUCGCUUGAGCCCAGGAGUUGGAGAGUGCAGUAAGCCAAAAUUGUGCCACUGCACUCCAGCCUGGGCAACAGAGCAAGAUCUUAUCUAAAAAAAAAACGAAACAAAAAAAUGGCCUGGCAAAAUCUUUGUGACUUUGGUUAGCGAAAGCUUUUUGCUAAACGUUUGCCUAACCCCCUCCCCACCGAACAAAAAAAAAACUUCUUUUUGCCUGUAAAUCCAUCACUUUGGGAGGCUGAGGCAGGCAGAUCACUUGAGGUCAGGAGUUUGAGAACCAGCCUGGGCAACAUGGUGAAACUCUGUCUCUACCAAAAUACAAAAGUUAGCCGAGUGGCCGGGCAUGGUACACCUGUGAUCCCAGCACUUUGGGAGGCCAAGGUGGGUGGAUCAUCUGAGGUCAGGACUUUGAGACCAGCCUGGCCAACAUGGUGAAACCCCAUCUCUACUAAAAGUACAAAAAAUUAGCCAGGAGUGGUGGUGGGCGCCUGUAAUCCCAGCUAUUUAGGAGGCUGAGGCAGGUGAAUUGCUUGAACUUGGGAGGCGGAGGUUGUAGUUAGCUGAGAUUGCUCCACUGCACUCCAGCCUGGGCAAAAAGAGUGAGACUCUGUCUCAAAAAAAAAAAAGUUAGGGCCAGGCAUGGUGGUGCGCACCUGUAAUCCCAACUAUUCAGGAGGCUGAGGCCCCAGAAUCACUUGAACCCAGGAGAUGGCGGUUGCAGUGAGGCGAGAUUGCGUCACUGCACUCUAGCCUGGGUGAUGAAGUGAGAUUCUGCCUCAAAAAAAAAAAAAAAAAAAUUCCAAACCCACACCCAUCUAUUUCUUCACCCUUCUGUGCCUCAGUUUUCUUAUGUGUAAGAUAAAGGUAACUGUCCCUGACCUGCCCACCUCCCAGGGUUGUGUGGGAACCAGUUAGAUCUGGACCUUUGAGGAAGGCUGUACAAACUGUUGAGGGCUUUUCAGCCAUGAAACUCUUCUGCCCGUACCCCAUAAAUACAAUUAGGUGCUUGCUGCAGAGGCAUCGGGGGUCUCUGGCCAGAGGUGACAUCUGAAGCAAUCGGGAUCCUGUUUGGUUUUGCCACAUCCGACCUGCCGCCCAGCUGGGGCAAGACAGCCACGCGCGGCGGAUGCACCGGCCCUGAACUCUUUCUCGAGUAGUCCCCAGAGAUUUCAGGAAGAGAGAGAAGAGGUAAAGAGACCAGAAACAAAGUCUUCUGCAAGCAAAGAACUGCAACAGGCCCCAGCUGUUAGGUUUGAGGGGCGUAUGGGGCAGGCGACUGAACUGCAGAGUUGGAGCCAGAGGUACCAUUGCUGACCCCUGAGCCCAGGAGCCUUGAGAAUACUGACAGUGUUAAUAAUAACUGCAAUCAUCCAACAUAUGAUGCUAGAAUAACUGGACAUCUGUGUGCAAAAAUAUUAAACCUAUACCUUGCACCUUAUCACAAAAUUCACUCAAAAUAGAUCAUAGACCAAAAUGUGAAACAUAAAACUAAGACUUCCAGGGGAAAACAGGAGAAAAUCUUUGUGACUUUGGGGUUAGGCAAAGCUUUUUGCUAAAGACAUUGAUAAGAGAUUGAAAAAACAAGCAGAUUGCCAGAUGAUCUUUGCAAAACAUGUAUCUGAUAAAAGACUUGUAGCCAGAACAUAUAAAGAACUCUCUUUUUUUCUUCGUUGUUCUUUUUUUUUUUUUUUUGAGAUGGAGUCUCACUUUGUCGCCCAAGCUAGAGUGCAGUGGGGCAAUCUCAGCUCACUGCACCCUCUGCCUCCUGGGUUCAAGCAAUUCUCCUGCCUCAGCCUCCCAAGUAGCUGGGAUUAUAGGGCAUGCGCCACCAUGCCCAGCUAAUUUUUUUUUUUUUUUUUGAGACGGAAUCUCGCUCUUAUUGCCAGGCUGGAGUGCAGUGGUGCGAUCUUGGCUCACUGCAACCUCCAACUCCCUGGUUCAAGCGAUUCUCCUGCCUCAGCCUCCCGAGAACCUGGGAUUACAGGCACACUCCACCACGCCCAGCUAAUUUUUAUAUUUUUGGUAGAGAUGGGGUUUUGCCAUAUUGGCCAGGCUGGUCUCGAACUCCUGACCUCAAGCAAUCCGCCCAUCUCGGCCUCCCAAAGUGCUGGGAUUACAGGUGUGAGUCACCACACCCAGCCUCUUUUUCCUUUUCUUUCUUUCUUUUUUUUUUUUUGAGACAGGGCCUUGCUCUGAGCUGGAGUGCAGUGGUGUGAUCACGGCUCACUGCAGCCUCAACCUCCCGGGCUCAGGUGAUCCACCCACCUCAGUCCCCCAGGUAGCUGUGAUCAUGCCACUGCACUCCAGCCUGGGCGACAGAGCAAGACCCUAUCUCUAAAUUUUAAAAAAGUGCAAAAAUCUGGAUGUAAAUAUUUACACUGGUCUUAUUCAUAACCACCAAAAACUAGAAACAACUAAAAUGGCUUCAACUGGUAAAUGUAUAAACACGCAGUGGUACGUUCAUAAAAUGAAAUACUAUGCAGCAAUAAAAAGGAAUGAGCUACAGAUACAUGCAGCAGCAGGGCAGAAUCUCAGAUGUAUUAUGCUAAGUGAGAGAAGCCACACUCAAGGCUACUUUUUGAAGGAUUCUGUUCCGGAAAAGGCAAAACAAUGGGAACAAGAAACAGAUGGGUAGUUGCCAGGGACUAGAAUGCAGAGAGGGACUGACUACAAAGGGCAAGUGGGAACUGGGGGUGACGAUGGGUACUGGAACUGGUGUGUGUGUGUGUGUGUGUGUGUUUGUGUUUGUAUACGUGUCUAUGUAUGUAUAUGCGUGUGUGUAUAUUUUUUAAGAGACAAGGUCUUGUUCUGUCAUCCAGUCUGGAGUGUAAUGGCACGAUCAUAGCUCACUGCAGCCUCGAACUUCUGGGCUCAAGGGAUUCUCCUGCCUCAGCUGCCCGAGUGGCUGGGACCACAGGCUCAUGCCACCAUGCCUGGCUAAUUUUUAAUUUUUUUGUACCAACAGGAUCUUGCCAUCUUGCCCAAGUUGGUUUCCAACUCCUGGGCUCCAGCGAUCCUCCCCCCUCAGCCUCCCAAAGUGCUGGGAUUACAAGUGUGAGCCACUGUGCCUGUCCUGUCCUAUAUCUUUUUUUUUUUUUUUUGACAGAGUCUCACUCUGUCGCCCAGGCUGGAGUGCAGUGGUGCAAUCUUGGCUCACUGCAACCUCCGUGUCCCAGGUUAAAGCAAUUCUGCCUCAGCCUCCCAAGUAGCUGGGAUUACAAGCUCAUGCCACCACGCCCAGCUAAUUCGUGUAUUUCACCAUGUUGGCCAGGCUGGUCUUGAACUCCUGACCUCAAAUGAUCCACAUGCCUCAGCCUCCCAAAGUGCUGGGAUUACAGGCAUGAGCCACCGCGCCCGGCCCUGUCUUAUAUCUUGAUUGCGGUAGUGUUCACUUGACUGUAUAUGUUUGUCAAAACUCCUGGAACUGUACAUUAAAAAGAACUUUUCCAGGUGCAGUGGCUCAUGCCUGUAAACCCAGCACUUUGGGAGGCUGAGGCAGGCGGAUCAUUUGAGGUCUGGAGUUCAAGACCAGCCUGGCCAACAGGGCGAAAACCCGUCUCUACUAAAAAUACAAAAAUUAGCCGGGCAUGGUGGCAUGUGCCUAUAGUCCCAGCUACUCGGGAGGCUGAGGCAGGAGAAUCGCUUGAACCCAGGAGGUGGACGUUGCAGUGAGCUGAGAUUGUGCCACUGCACUCCAGCCUGGGCAACAGAGUGGGAUUCUGUCUCAAAAUAAAUAAAUACAUAAAUGAAUAAAGAGGACAGUCAGACUGUGCACAGUGGCUCAUGCUUGUAAUCCCAGCACUUUGGGAGCCCAAGGCAGGAGGAUCCCUUGAGCCCAGGAAUUCUUUUUUUUUUUUUUUUUUUUUUUCUUGAGGCAGAGUCUAAUUCUGUCGCCAGCCAGGUUGGAGUGCAGUGGUGAUCUCGGCUCACUGCAAUCUCCGACUCCCAGGUUCAAGCGAUUCUCCUGCCUCAGCCUCCCGAGUAGCUGAGAUUACAAGCGUGUGCCAUCACGCCCGACUAAUUUUUGUAUUUUUAGUAGAGACGGGGUUUCACCAUGUUGGCCAGGAUGGUCUUGAUCUCCUGACCUUGUGAUCCGCCCGCCUCGGCGUCCCAAAGUGCUGGGAUUACAGGCGUGAGCCACUGCACCCGGCCAGAGCCCAGGAAUUCAAGACCAGCCUGGGCAACAUAGGGAGACCAUGUCUCUAUAAAAAAAUUAAAUAAUAUAAAAAUAAAGAGGAUAGUUGCUCCUGAGCUCCAGCUGCUGACACGUGGAAAUAAGGGCCCGGUAUUGUCAGGUGUUCUGAUAGUACAGGAAAAUCCUAACUUUUCUUUUUUGAGACAGAGUGUUGCUCUGUCACCCAGGCUGAAGUAUAAUGGCGUGAUCUCAGCUCACUGCAACCUCCGCCUCCCGGGUUCAAGCGAUUCUCCUGUCUCAGCCUGCCGAGUAGCUGGGACUACAGGCAUGGGCCACCACGCCCGGCUAAUUUUUGUAUUUUUAGUAGAGACGGGGUUUCACCAUGUUGUCCAGGCUGAUCAACUUCUGACCUCAAAUGAUCCACCCACCUUGGCCUCCCAAAGUGCUGGGAUUAUAGGCGUGAGCCACCGGCGCCCAGCCAAUCCUAACAUUCUAAUGUCUAUAAUAUGAAAUGUCAUGAUUUUUACAAUGUUAGCAAAUCAUUCAAAAUUUUAGUAAACUGUCUAGAUGUUAGUUUUUACUAUGGUAAAAACAUCGGCCAGGCGCGGUGGCUCAUGCCUCUAAUCCCAGCACUUUGGGAGGCCGAGGCGGGCGGAUCACAAGGUCAAGAGAUCGAGACCAUCCUGGCUAACACAGUGAAACCCCGUCUCCACUAAAAAUACAGAAAACUAGCCAGGUGUGGUGGCAGGCGCUUGUAAUCCCAGCUACGGGAGGCUGAGGCAGGAGAAUGGUGCGAACCCGGGAGGCGGAGGUUGCAGUGAGCCGAGAUUGGGCCACUGCACUCCAGCCUGGACGACAGAGCAGACUCCAUCUCAAAAAAAAAAAAAAUGGUCACCCCUUUUGCUCCUAAAUCACCCUCAAAGUAAAAGAGAACAAGAAACAGAAGCAGAAAUCCAUAUUUAGUGAAAUAAGACAACACCUGUAGCUCCAAACCUGUAGAAGCAGAUCCCAGAGAAAAGCAGGCCAGUUCUCUCCUGGAAUCCCAGAAAGUCCCAGGAAUUGGAGGCUUCAGUGCUGCAGUAGGGAGGGGACUAAAAACAAAGUCUGUAUAUGGAGCAGUAAGACCUCCGGGUUCUCAUCCCCCAUCCUGUGUGCUCUCGGGUGACUAGCCCUCUCCCUCUCCAGGUUUAGCUUCUGGAGAAAUUAAAUCAAAGAGGCUCUAGAACUGGGGAUGGCAGGCAUUGAGUGCAGGGAGUGAGUUGCCAGAGGCUGAGAGCAGAGAGAUUUAGUGGCAGUGGGCAGAGCAAACAGCAAAAUGACUGCCCUCUUCCCUGGCCUUGCUCCAGAAACUGAGCAGCCAGACAUACACACUCCCAGAAGGCAGUUGGAGGUCCCCCCGGGCAAUCAGAACCACCCACAGAGAAGACCUCCAGAUACUGACAUUUAGAAGCCUCUGACCAAAGAGCUGCCUGGCCACCCACUGGCUUACUCGCUGACAGGCCAUGCUCCUGCCGUACACACCGAUCCUAUCAGUCAUCCUCAUGGGCUCCUUUCCAGACUUCUGAGGAAAGCUUCCAACAUGAAGAGGGAGUUCAAAACAAACAGAGAGAGAGAGAGAGAGAGAGAGAAAAGAAAUAUAAACAAUGCAGGGAGCAAAAGAUAACUUCAAAUAAACUCAAAAUAUUCUUCUGGGAGAGAUGAGACAAUAUUGCAUACAUAAAACAAGAAGAGGAUGCUAUCACUAAAUUUUAAAAAAAAGUAACAGAAAGUAAGAAAGACCUCUAAGAAAUGUUUCUGAAAUGAGGUAUAAUUUUUUUUUUUUUGAGAGGGAGUCUUACUCUGUCACCCAGGCUGGAGCGCAGUGGCGUGAUCUCAGCUCACUGCAACCUCCGUCUCCCAGGUUCAAGCGAUUCUCGUGCCUCAGUGCCCCGAGUAGCUGGAAUUACAGGUACACACCACCACGCCUGGCUAAUUUUUGUAUUUUUAGUAGAGGCGGGGUUUACACCAUGUUGGCCAGGCUGGUGUCAAACUCCUGACCUCAGGUGAUCCACCUGCCUUGGCUUCCCAAAGUGCUAGGAUUACAGGCGUGAGCCACUGGACCUGGCGAAAACUCUUUUUUUAAUCAUAACUUUAAAAACCCAGUUUUAAGUUUUAUUUUUUGUGCUACACUGUUUCUUGUGUUCCAUAUCGUUCUCGUACUUGAAUUUCAUUUUUGUCUUCUUGGAGAGAACAACCUCUAGUAGUAAUUCUUUCUAAUGUGGCCAAUGGAUGAAAAGACUAUUUUACCUUCUAUCCUCUAAAAUUUAUUGAGGUGACAAUAUAAGGAGCUCAAACAACUCUACAGGAAAAAAAAUCUAAUCAUCUGAUUUAAAAUGGGCAAAAGAACUGAAUAGACAUUUAUCAAAAGAAGACAUACAAAUGGCAAACAGGUAUAUGAAAAGAUGCUCAACAUCACUGAUCAUCAGAGUAAUGCAAAUCAAAACUACAACGAGGCCAGGUGUGACGGCUCACACCUGUAAUCCCAGCACUCUGGGAGGGUGAGGUGGGAGGAUCACUUAAGCCCAGGAGUUCAAGACCAGCCUGGGCAACAUGGGGAGACCCAGUCUCUACAAAAAAUUAAUAAAUUGGCCAGGUGUAAUGGCACAUACCUGUAGUCCAAGCUACUCUGGAGGCUGAAGUGGGAGGAUCACUUGAGUCCAGGAGGUAAAGGAUGCAGUAAGCCUUGAUUGUAUUACUGCACUCCAGCCUGGGCAACACAGUAAGACCCUGUCUCAAAACAAACAAACAAAACAACAACACACUAAAUGAGAAAUCAUCUGUAUUAGUCCAUUUUCACACUACUGAUAAAGGCAUACCCGAGACUGAGCAACUUACAAAAGAAAGAGGUUUAAGGGACUCACAGUUCCAUGUGGCUGGGGAGGCCUCACAAUCAUGGUGGAAGGUGAAAGACACAUCUCACAUGGCCGCAGACAAGAGAAGAGAGCUUGUGCAGGGAAACUCCCCUUUUUAAAAAUCAUCAGAUCUCAUGAGACUUAUUCACUAUCACUAGAACAGCACAGGAAAGGCCUGCCCCCCAUGAUUCAAUUACCUCCACCGGGUCCCUCCCACAACACAUGGGAAUUCAAGAUGAGAUUUGGGUGGGGACACCCAAAUCAUAUCAUCAUCUCACCCCAGUUAAACCAUAUCAUCAUCUCACUCCAGUUAAUGCAGCUCUUGGCUGGGCACAGUGGCUUGUGUCUGUAAUCCCGGCACUUUGGGAGGCCAAGGUAAGCAGACAAUUUAAGUUCAGGAGUUCCAGAGCAGCCUGGUGAACAUAGUGAAACCCUGUCUUUACUAAAAAUACAAAAUUUAGCUGGGCAUGGUGGCGGGCCCCUGUAAUCCCAGCUACUCUGGAGGAUGAGGCAGGAGAAUUGCUUGAACUGAGAGGAGGUUCAUAAAAUAAAAAUAAAGGCUGUGUUUGUAUCGCUGGGAAAUUUUCUUUUAUUGCUGCUUUGGUUAUUUCCUCUCUUGUUUACUUCUUUCUUUCUGUAACUAUCUAGAUGGAUCCUCCAUGUCACAACUUCUCUUUUCCUUUUGGCAGUUUUCUGGGAGAAACCCUCAGUUUGUUUAUUUAUUUUGAGAUGGAGUUCGCUCUUGUUGCCCAGGCUGGAGUGCAAUGGCGUGAUCUCGGCUCACCAAAACCUCUGCCUCUUGGGUUCAAGUGAUUCUCCUGCCUCAGCUUCCUGAGUAGCUGGGAUUACAGGCAUGCGCCACCAUGCCUGGCUAAUUUUGCAUUUUUAGUAGAGACGGGGUUUCACCAUGUUGGCCAGGCUGGUCUGAAACUCCCGACCUCAGGUGAUCUGCCCACCUCAGCCUCCCAAAGUGCUGGGAUUACAGGCAUGAGCUACCGUGCCUGGCCUGUGUAUUUUUGGAGACAGAGUCUUGCUCUGUUGCCCAGGCUGGAGGGCAGUGGUGCAAACUCUGCCUCCCGGGUUCAAGCGAUUCUCGUGCGUCACCUCCCAAGUAGCUGGGGCUAGAGGCAUGUGCCACCAUGUCUGGUUACUUUUUAUAUAAACCUUCAGUUUAAUCUUUUAGCUUACUGCUGUGUUUUUCAGCUUUAUUCACUUUGCUUUUUUUCUAUAUUUUCGUUUCAACUCAACUUUUAAAAAAUCAUACUUGUAUAUUUGUAUAUUUAUAUUUAUUUUCCAAGACCUCAUUUGCCUCUUUUUCAUAAUGGGCUAUUAUUGCUCCAUGGUACAGAAUCUUCUGUUCUUUCCUAAACUAUUAGUUAUUUUUAAAAUAUUUGUUAACUUUCUCCCCCUUGCUAGUUCUCAGGUACCCGCUUUCUCCCAGAGUGCUGGCUUUCCUUAAUUAUUUGCUGACUUGUGCUGGUGUGUAACCCUUCAUACUUAGGUAUUUCUAUUUGUCUGACUGCUGAUUUGAUUCCAAUCCAGUGUUUCUUCUGAUUCGUGGAGAAGAGACGACAACGCUGUGAGGCUCUGGUUUUGGUGGCUUGUCUGGGUGUGGGAGCUCCUUGUCAUCAUGGGAUUUUUAGCUCCCUGGGUCGCCAUCCUACAUGGCCACUCUCCUGCCGAUGCUGCCCGCUACUCAGCAGGAGGGGAAGUCGAGACCACCUCCUUAACCUUACAGACAUUGAUUGUGAGCUUGGAGCACCUUCCGUGACUGGACCACCCAUGCAGUGGUCCUUUGCUUUUUGCAUUUUUAACUGCAAUUUUCCCCAAGAGUCUUCCCUAAUACAGUCUCUUAGGAAUUGACGGUGGGAUUAAACAAGGCAUGUUUCUGCACUGAAUAUGGUCUAUGGGUUGCCACUUUGCAACCUCAGCUUUAAGGCUUAUUUCCUCCCAGGAAACUGAUGUUAACUUUUUAAGUUAAAAAUGUGUAUAUAAGUAAUACAUGUUUAUUUUGGAAAUUAGAAAAUACAGGCCAGGUGUGGUGGCUCAUGCCUGUAAUCCCAGCAUUUUGGGAGGUUGAGGCAGGAGGAUUGCCUGAGCCCAGGAGUUUGAGACCAGCCUGGGCAACAUAGGGAAAUUCCAUCUCUACAAAAAAAUUAAACAUUAGCUGGGUGUGGUGGUGCCCACCUGUGGUCACAGCUACUCGGGAGACUGAGGUGGGAGGAUAGCUUGGGCAGGGGAGGUUGAGGCUACAGUGAGCCACGAUCACACCAAUGUGACACAGUGAGACCCUGUCUCAAAAAAAAAAAAAAAGAAAGAAAAUAUAGGUAAACACAAAGACAAAAAAGCAGGGCAUGGUGGCUCACACCUGUAAUUCUAGCACCUUGGGAGGCUGAGGCAGGAGGAUCACUUGAGGUCAGGAACUCGAGACGAGACCAGGCUGGGCAGCAUGGCGAGACCCCAUCUCUAUAAAAAGUACAAAAAUUAGCAGGGCACGGUGGUGUGCACCUGUGGUCCUGCUACUUGGGAAGUUGAGGUGGGAGGAUCACCUGAGCCCUGGAGGUUGAGGGUGCUGUGAGCCAUGAUGGCACCACUCCACUCCAGUCCAGGUGAAAGAGCCAGAUCCUGUCUCAAAAAAAAAAAAAAAAAAAAGUGGCUGGGCAUGUAAACUUACCAAGGACCAAGGAGACAAGUCUUGAGAGAAAGGAAGGCAACUCAAAGGAUGGACUUUUAAACACUUGUAACCAGCAUUGGGAACAGUAGUAGGUUGAAGAGGGAAAUCUAGAACUCAUGCCUGAAAACUGCCAGUCAUCCAGCCCAUUUUUCCAUACAGACAUUUGGAAAUAAGUUAAUGGAGCCAUUUUGGUGAGAGCCCUCUGUUCCCUUCAGGAGGCCUUUGUCAGGAAGAGGGUGGGGCAGGGGACUCACCCCCCACUCAAAUCUGGAACUGAAACCAGCUUCAAAGCCGAGUGCAGAGCCAGCGCGGUGGCUCAUGCCUGUCAUCCCAGCACUUUGGGAGUCCAAGGCAGGCCUCACUUGAGGUCAGGAGUUCCAGACCGGCCUGGCCAACAUGGUGAUUGCACCACUGCGCUACAGCCUUGGGUGACAGAGCAAGACUCUGUCUCAAAAAACAAAACAACAAUAAAACAAAGCAGAGUGCAGGAGUGGCUGUGGACUCUGGACGCCCUGCUAGGAUUAGGAUGGGUGUUCCUGGCUCAUGGGCCUCACUGGCUCUUCUGAUGCCCUGCCACCCCCACCCCAGACUGGCUUUGAGCCCCGGAAACCUUGACAGCUUUCUAGAGGUGUCUGUCAGUUAGGUUGUGCCACGCGAAGUUGCCGUUUCUGCAGGUCAAAUAGUGGUGGACUAUUGGCAAUUUCUAGGCACCUCUGGUCUGGUUGAUCCAAAUCCUCCAACCUGUGGCACAUUUAUUUAGCGCUCAUUUUGUGCCAGCCUGCCUGCUAAGCAACUUAUAGCCAUUUUUAUUUGUAUUUAUUUUUCUUUUUGAGACAGGGCCUCGCUCUGUCGCCCAGGCUAGAGUGCAAUGGCGCAAUCUCGGCUCACUGCAACCUCCACCUCCCGGAUUCAAGCGAUUCUCCUGCCUCAGCCUCCCGAGUAGCUGGGAUUACAGGGGUGCACCACUACGACCGGCUAAUUUUUGUUAUUUUUAGUAGAGACAGGGUUUCACCGUGUUGGCCUGGCUGGUCUUGAACUUCUGGCCUCAAGUGAUCCACCCGCCUCGGCCUCCAAAAGUGCUAGGAUUACAGGCAUGAGCCACCGCGCCCCACUAUAGCCAUUUUUAAACUGUCCCAAGUUUCUGAGGAAACGGAAUUGUUCACCAUUUGACAGAGAAGAAAACUCUGGCUCAGAUACUCCCCUUUUAGAAUUGUUUCGGGGGCUGGCUCGUCCGUCAAACUUUAAAAAAAUAACAACAGCAUGCUGAGUUGAAGUUAAAAGAGCUGGGGUCUGGAGGUCGCUGGGCUCAGGGGCGCUGCCACUCAACAGCUGCGCCGAGCUGGGGACGCGCAGGGGAAGCAAGUUCCCAGCUCUGUGGACUCCAGGUCUGAGAAAAAUCCUGUCGGUAUUCAGCCACCCAGUGUUCCCAUCAAUACGAUGAGAAUAAUGAGGACAAUAGCCACCACGUCCGGCAAACUCAGGCGUGAGCUGCGAGGACUCGGUACCGCCCGGCAGGGAAAAAGCAGGGCCUGGAGGCCGAGGAGCCCCACCCGCACCCACCACGUGGAGCCGGCCGGGCCUGCGGCGAAGCCACAGGGCGACUCCCGGGGCGCGGAGCGGGGCGGGGGCGGGACUAGCACGGCCCCACUCUGCCGACGCCUCUCCCAGGUCGCGACACCGGCGAGCCGCUCC
rnacentral:lncRNA from 1 species